rnacentral:rRNA from 1 species
AUGGCGCAGUGAGGUGCGGGCAUAUAGACGAACCAGUGUGGAUGCUGGACCGUAGAGGGUGAGAGUCCCGUAGUCGAAAUGUGUUCCGCCGCUGUUGGAGGGUUGCCCGAGUAGCACGGGGCCCGAGAAAUCCCGUGUGAAUCUGCCAGGACCACCUGGUAAGCCUGAAUACUACCUGUUGACCGAUAGCGGAUCAGUACCGUGAGGGAAUGGUGAAAAGUACCCCGGGAGGGGAGUGAAAUAGUACCUGAAACC